AGACAUCUACCAUGUGCAGGGACAGGCACAGGCCUCAAACAAAAACAAGCUCAGAAGAGUCCAGAUCCAGGGCUUGAGUCAGUCUAUUAUGCAGCUGGUAACUAAACCAAGAGGGGUCUCUUGGCAACGUCUGUGCUAGCUUUUUUCACUGACAAAGACAGAGACCAUGACGGUUCAUGAAAUUUGAUUUCAAACAGUUAUCAAGCUAUACCGGCAGUGAGAUGGACAAGAUACUGCUGUGAGUUUUCCCGGUCUCUAAUUCCUGAGUGAAUCUGAGAAGAAAAACACUUGUGACUCCCAACCAAAGAAGUUUUGUUUUCUUCAGCAGAAAGCUUUGCAAACCUUUUGUUUCCAGUUCUCUCGGACUUCCAGAAUACGGACCAUGGACCACCAGUUGACUGCAGAGGGUGUGUUUGUGUUCUGCCACUCAACCUGUGAGGACGGUGUGUGUGUGAGAGACAGAGCAUUGUCCCAUAUGAUCAGGAAAAGAAAAUGUGGCCCCACGAUUUCUCCUUAGCAUGUGGGAGUACUGAGCACUUUCAAAAAAUGGAUUGCGAUUGCCCUUAGCUAUAUAAAGAGAUUAAUCUUGUGGAGGAAGAAAAGCCCAUGUGUUCUCGUUCUGAAAGGCUGGUAUUCUGACAUGGCGGAAAUGCUGUCAGGGUAGGAUACCCAAAGAAAUUCUAACGGACCAACGGACACCCUUUGUGCCCAAGCUUAUGAAGGACUUGUGUACCAUGCUCUCCAUACGUGCCCUGAGGACAUCAGUUUAUCAACCCCAAACAGACGAUCUUGUUGAGCAGUUUAACAGGACCAUGAAAAAUACCACCUCAAGAAAGUGGUAAGCUGGGACGGCAAAGAUUGGGAUAUUCUGCUUCCAUACCUCAUGUUCGUGGUAAGGGAAGUUCCUCAAGUUUCUAUUGGGGUCUCCCCAUUUGAGCUUUUAUAUGGGCGUAACACACGGGGCAGACUGAACCUUGCCAAGGAGGCCUGAGAGGAACAACCCAACCAUGGAAGAAAUGUUGUUGAUCAUGUACUCCAUAUGACGGACAAAAUAGCC